UACUCCUACGGGAGGCAGCAGUGGGGAAUAUUGCACAAUGGGCGGAAGCCUGAUGCAGCGACGCCGCGUGGGGGAUGAAGGCCUUCGGGUUGUAAACUCCUUUCGACAGGGACGAAGCGUAAGUGACGGUACCUGUAUAAGAAGCACCGGCUAACUACGUGCCAGCAGCCGCGGUAAUA
rnacentral:rRNA from 1 species